UCUCAUACAAUCUUGAAUACAUCUGCUCUCAGCAGAUUGAAGAAGGAACAGGCCUAGUUAGUAUUUAGAUGGGAGACCACCAGGGAAUAUCAAAAUAAAUGGAA
rnacentral:rRNA from 1 species